rnacentral:rRNA from 1 species
GUGUCAGCCGCCGCGGUAAAACGUAGGAGGCGAGCGUUAUCCGGAUUUACUGGGCGUAAAGCGUACGCAGGUGGCUGUGUAAGUCGGACAUGAAAGCUCCUGGCUUAACUGGGAGAGGUGGUUCGAAACUGCAUAGCUUGAGGUUGGGAGAGGGACGUGGAAUUCCCGGUGUAGUGGUGGAAUGCGUAGAUAUCGGGAGGAACACCAGUGGCGCAAGCGGCGUCCUGGCCCACACCUGACGCUGAGGUACGAAAGCGUGGGUAGCAAACAGGAUUAGAAACCCUGGUAGUCC